AACGCACGAGACCUGCGGACCUGCGGAGGGAUCAUUAAAGAGUUGCAAAACUCCCUACACCCUCGCGAACAUACCCGUAGCGUUGCUUCGGCGGGCGGCCCCAGGGCGGGGCCGUAGCCUUCACAGGCGCCCGCCGGAGGUACCUAAACUCUCUGUUUACAGCGGCCUCUCUGAGUACUAUAUCACAAUAAGUCAAAACUUUUAGCAACGGAUCUCU
rnacentral:misc_RNA from 1 species